rnacentral:rRNA from 1 species
UACGUAGGAGGCGAGCGUUGUCCGGAAUUAUUGGGCGUAAAGCGCGCGCAGGCGGUUCUUUAAGUCUGGUGUCUAAGUGCGGGGCUCAACCCCGUGUCGCACUGGAAACUGGGGAACUUGAGUGCAGAAGAGGAGAGCGGAAUUCCACGUGUAGCGGUGAAAUGCGUAGAGAUGUGGAGGAACACCAGUGGCGAAGGCGGGUUGCUGGGCUGAUACUGACGCUGAGGCGCGAAAGCCAGGGGAGCGAACGGG